UACAGAGGUCGCAAGCGUUGUUCGGAUUCAUUGGGCGUAAAGGGUGCGUAGGUGGCGGGGUUAGUCAGGUGUGAAAUCUCGGAGCUCAACUCCGAAACUGCACUUGAUACUGCCUUGCUAGAGUACUGGAGAGGAGAUUGGAAUUUACGGUGUAGCAGUGAAAUGCGUAGAUAUCGUAAGGAAGACCAGUGGCGAAGGCGAAUCUCUGGACAGUUACUGACACUGAGGCACGAAGGCCAGGGGAGCAAACGGG
rnacentral:rRNA from 1 species